rnacentral:lncRNA from 10 species
CGGCCACGCCGCAGCUCAGGGUUUUCUCUGAGGGCUGUGAGAGGCUAGGCCCGGGGAGAGGAGGCAGAGGUUAUGCUCCGGUCUCUGCAGACUUCCACAGUGUCUAUCGAGAUCACACAUGCCAGCAUUGCCCCCUCCCAUCCUCUCCUCAUCGUACGGAGGAGGAAACCCAGGCCGAAGACCUGAAGUGUCCAAAAGCACAGCCAGGCCAAAGAGAAGCACCAUCCCAUGUUCUCCCACUCCCACUCCGGUGCUUCUUCAGGUGGAUGCUGCAAGACCAGCAGGGGCCUGGCUUAUCAUGCAACUUUGUGAAUAUGUGGGAGAGAGGAGCCUUCCAGACGGUGUUAUGGCCUCCCAGGAACUCCCAAAGCCCCCUCCCCAGGGUGGCAUCUGGUUUUGGACACUGGUUUCUGUCACUGAGCUCCAGGGACUCAUGUCACACCUGGAAGAACUUUUAGAUUCUGUCUGCCUGGCCAUGUCUUCCAACAGCCGAGAUCAUUGAGGAAGAUGACAACUUCUACCUGAACAGCCAGGACAGCUUAGGGUCUUCUCACAUGUGGACCUUGAAAUGCACUUCUGUUAUUUUUCUCCAGUAUAUUCAGGGGAAGGGGGCUGGUGAUCAAAGCUUUUGCUGAGCAGGAACAGAAGGGUUGUCACUUGCUUUUUUCUCCACUGAAACCUAGAGUAGCAAACACAUCCUCGGGGUGCUAUGUGAUGCUCACAGGCAGAGCCCUGCCAGAGGUUCCCGUCAUUCCCAUAUAUUAAACCUUCAAUGUCUUCCCUAUGAACUACAAACAAAGUUUAUAUUCUAGGUCAAAACCCCAUCGUCUAGCCCCUGACAACUUCUCUAGGCUUGUCUGCUUCCAGCCCCAACCUCCCAGUCCCCAGCCUCAGCAGCUGCCUUCCACUUGCUUAAGGUCUUCACGCAUGCUAUUUCUUCUACCUGGAAUACUCUUUCUCCAUGACUUUGCGUAGCUCACUCCUACCCACAUUUUAGUGUUCCCUGUAAUGUAACUUCUUCAAAGAGAACUUCCCUAACUCUUCUAAUUAAAUUAGGUCCCUCCCAUUAUUCUUCCUCUUUAUAACCUAUUCUUUUCCUUCACAACUCUCAUUUCAAUUUAUGAUUUUACAUGGACAUGUUUAUUGGUUCAAGGUCAGCCUGUCCUUCAUACUUAAUAGAUUUAAUAGACUGUAAGCCUCACGAGGGUAGGGGCCAUGUCUGAUUUGUUCACUUCAAAUCCAGUAUCUGACAAGUGUCUCCCUAUAAAUAUUUAUUGAUGAAUGAAUGAGUGAAUGAAUGAUAUCAGCAAUCUUUAUCUUAAAAGAUAAAAUUAGAACUCAAUAAACUUGUAAACAUAAGCAGUAGUGACUAUUUCCAUUAAAAAAGGUAGCAACCAAAACAAGAUUCAAGGAAAUACAAAUACCAAGGUUUAUUAGGUACUUCUUAAAACUAACCAUCCAUUCAACAAAUGUGUAUUAAGCUUCCGUAGCCCUUGUGCUUCUUGCCAGAAAUACAAAUCUAAAUACGAUCUGGCUCUCAGGAGCUUGCAGCCUGGGGGAGUAGGGUUGGACAUGUAAAUAAAUGGUUAUAGUGUAAUUUGAUAAAUGCUGCAAUAAUAUAGGUAUCUAACUCUGCCUGGGAGUGCCUAUAUCUGGGACUUGGUGAAAAAGAAAAAGAUGACUUUGUCACCUGGACGGGACAGAGGGAGGGCAUUCUGGGCAGGAGACGAAUGAAGGAAUGUGGCUCAUUUGGGGAACUGCCAGUGGUUUGGUAAAUGGAGCGCAGGUUGUGUGAAGGAUGGAGGCGGUUGAAGAG